ensembl:lncRNA novel transcript, antisense to C7orf33 and CNTNAP2
GCUCUGUUGGGUGAAGGGUGACCAGGUGUAGAUUUCAGGGAAAGGAGCAGGUUUUAGAAAGAAGGAUGAUGAGUCCCAUUUUGUAGAAAAUGUUGAGGUGCUUAUGAGAUGUCUAUUAGAGAAUUUGCUGUAUGAGUCAGAGGCUCAGGCAAAUUGGCUGACUGAAGCCAAUUUGAUUUUAAUAUCCCUUUAUAACAGUGGUUGACUAAACCUAGCUCACUGCCUGUUUUUAUAAAGUUUUAUUUAUACACAGCCAUAUGCAUUCAUUUACAAUUAAUUUUGGGAACUGCUUUAGCAGAGAAAACAAUGGAGUCAGCUUGUGUUGCAGGAAAAGGGAAAGGAAAGCAAGAGAGAAUAAGGGCUCCACUCUAUGGAAACACCAACAUUUAUGAGGCUGGACUUGGCUGGAACAAGAAUAAGACUCCUGAUGCUCGAACGGGAACCAGGAGGAAGAGUGCUAUUUAGUGUCCCCAAGGCCAAGGUUGUAUCUGUUUGCUCGGGAUGCCAUAACAAAGGACCACAGACUGGGGGGUUUAAACAGCAGAAGUUUACUUUCUCACAGUACUGGAGGCUGGAAGUCUGAGGUCAAGGUGCUGGCGGUGUCGGUUUCUCCUGAGCCCUCUCUCUUUUGCCGGGAAUCUCAAGUGCCUACUCUCUAAUUUAGUCCGCUGUGUGGCUGUGGUCUUUAAGUUGGAGUCUGUGGAGACAAAGAGGGAGGUCUUGCUGUGCCUGACCCUCUGGGAUGUGUUACCACCCACGCCGACCUGCUCUCUGCGGCUUUCUGACAGCACCUCACAGCCCUGGAACUGGAAAUGUGGCUCUCACUGAAGCUGCCCAGAGAGAGGGUCUCUCAGUGAAGACCCCCUGUUGUCAGCUGGGGCAGCCGGAAAGAAAGACUGGGAAUUCUCUUCACACAGGAUUUGAUAUGCUUGGUGGCUCCAGAAAAAUGCAAGUGUGCACAUUCAUCCACUUGACAAAGGGUGACUUAACUGUCAGUGUCCUGUGGAUUCAAACUGAAAGGGUUUGGGCGAAAGAAAGAAGAAGGUGGGACUGCGAAUAAAUUGAAAACAGCAUUUUGGAGGCAACAGCUGUGAAACAGAAGGGAAGGAAAAUUUAUGACCAUAUACAUUUCAGUAGGAAUUUAUAACUUUUUAUGAACAUUAUCUUAAAGUUAGUCUCUAGACAUAGGUCUAAAAAUAAAAUUAUGCUGAACUGUGUACCCAGAGAAUGGUAAAUGGGAAUAACGUUCUUGAAAGGGAUGACGUAGGUCCAGGGAAAGGUCACAUUGAAUAAUCAAGGUCGGUGAAGGUCAAAAUCACAAAGAAGGACCCUGCAUUCACUCCUGUCCUGAUGGCAGCUUCAGUGGAAACCCUUGGCCAUCGCUUUGCCUCUCCAAGCAUUCGAGAAAGACCGUCUGGUGCCAUAUUGUCUUCUGGGGACAGCUGAUCACCUGGGGAGAGCUGCAUCGUGCUCCUACCCGUGUCAGAUCUGGGCAGAGGACAGACAAAAGUCCUCUGGAGUUUUCCGCAGUGAGAGUCACAGAAGUUCAUCUAAGGAAUUGGAGCCAAGGUUAGAAACUUCUCUGGAGAUGUUCUAGUUUUGUUUGCUAGCUCGGCAGCUGCGUAAUGACACUCCCUCCAGCAGGGCACAUAGUUCACUUCAAAUGACAAAUGGUGGGACCUUAGUAUUUUUCACUGUCGGUUAAUUAUCAGAAAUAGAUUUGUUGCUAUCUAGAUACCAGCCAUUUGUCCAAAUUACUAGGAUAAGAUUCCCAAGAAAGCCUGAAAUCAGAUAGCUUUCUCCUCCUUAUUUUAAAAUAAACAGAAAUAAAAUUAUUCUGCUA